GAUGAACGCUGGCGGCGUGCCUAAUACAUGCAAGUCGAGCGAACGGACGAGAAGCUUGCUUCUCUGAUGUUAGCGGCGGACGGGUGAGUAACACGUGGAUAACCUACCUAUAAGACUGGGAUAACUUCGGGAAACCGUAGCUAAUACCGGAUAAUAUUUUGAACCGCAUGGUUCAAAAGUGAAAGACGGUCUUGCUGUCACUUAUAGAUGGAUCCGCGCUGCAUUAGCUAGUUGGUAAGGUAACGGCUUACCAAGGCAACGAUGCAUAGCCGACCUGAGAGGGGGAUCGCCCACCCGGAACCUGGGCACCGGCCCAGACCCCAAGGGGAGGCACCAUGAGGGAAUCUCCCGAAAGGGGCGAAAGCCUGACGAAGCACCGCGGGGUGAGUGAUGAAGGUCUGCGGAUCGUAAAACUCUGUUAUUAGGGAAGAACAAAUGUGUAAGUAACGGUGCACAUCUGGCCGUUACUAAUCAGAAAGCCACGGCUAACUACGUG
rnacentral:rRNA from 1 species